rnacentral:rRNA from 1 species
UACGAAGGGGGCUAGCGUUGUUCGGAAUUACUGGGCGUAAAGCGCGCGUAGGCGGUGAUCUAUGUCAGAGGUGAAAUCCCGGGGCUCAACCCCGGAAUUGCCUUUGAAACGGGAUCGCUAGAGUCCGAGAGAGGAUGGCGGAAUUCCUAGUGUAGAGGUGAAAUUCGUAGAUAUUAGGAAGAACACCGGUGGCGAAGGCGGCCAGUCUGGCUCGGUACUGACGCUCAGGCGCGAAAGCGUGGGGAGCAAACA